CUCCCAGGGCUCCUGUCGCCAGGGCUGCCGGCUGACAUCCCAACCACACGGAAACGCACCAAGCGACUCAGACAUCUGCAUUGCAGGACUCAAUUAACAUGCACAUCUAAGCGGCUUGCUUACUUUGGAGCACCCCACUUGGGGUGACACCAGGGUGCUACUGAUAAGGUAUUUGGGAGGAUUUUGCUAGGGCCAUGCCAAGUGAAUAUUUCCCCAAAUAACAUUUCAAGGUUUAUGUCAUAGAAGUUUGUGUCAUUAAGCUUGUUUCUCAAUACAGUCCCCAUUUUUCACUUGAGAAAGCUGAGGCUCAGAGAGGUAUGGUAACUUGCCCAAGGCCAACAGCUGUCUAUCAAACUGAUGGAAUAAGGGUUAGAACUCAGGCUUUUUUAAACCCGUGGGGCCCAUUCCUUUAAAUAUCAAGACGAAGUUGCAUUCCCAAAGGAUCCAAAUGCUGUUUUUUUCUGUUUAUGGUUCAUUCUUCCCCAAGGAAAGGUUGCCAUCAGAGUCAACUCCUUCACUCCUGGUGAUGACCGCAAACCUUGGGCCCAACCUCACCCUUCCACUAUAAUUAAAAGACCACCACAGGAAACAAUCUUUGUUGUGCCGAAGUAGUUUUCUUCAUUAGAAAUGCCUCCCAAAUACUUUUCAACAUUUGUUAGUGUAAACACAUUUUAUUCUUUAAUUUGUGCCUGUAAUCAUUUAUGCUGGUAGAUUUUGUGACUUUCAGCAAUAUCUGGCAAAUAACCUGGUCAGCCACGGUGUGUUAUUGUUUUGAAGCACUGUUCAGUUCCAAGAGUUGAUAUUUUUGUUUAGGAUUUCUGCAUCUAUAUUUGAAAGCAAAAGUAAACUGUAUUUUUUGUUGUGUUUCCUAGAUGUUGGUAUUGCAAUAGUCUGUUCUUUCAAAGUUAGAUGUAACUUGUUUUUAAGGCCUUCUCCUGCUGCUAAGAGGAUGCCCCACAUUCUUGCCAAAGCCCUGGGUAACCCUCCCUCCCCUGCCAGGAGCUGGCCUCGAGUUGCCCUGCCCCCACCCCUUGGCAUCACCACCCUUUUCCAGGCAGCAGAAAGUUGUGGAGGUCACAGUUAGGUCUAGCCAGGCCCUGAACACUAAACCACACAACCAGCUCCUGCUGCCUUGUAUCUGCGUUCUCUCAGCCUCAGAUGCAGCACUUAUAAUAAAAAUACCAUUCUCUUGCCUGUCCAAGGUAUAGCUGAUCUCACCAGCUCUUCCAGCAAUAGUGUUUUGAUUUGAGGAAGCUGGGAUUGUCCCUAGAUCCUAGAACAAUACACAUCCAUUUGCCUACUAGCUGCCACAUAACUAGGGCCAACAUGCACGGUGCUGCUCCUCCAGUCAGUUCAUUUAAUCCUCAGCACACCUCUGAGAUUCCUAUUUUACAAAUAAGGCCCAGAAAGGAUAGGUGAUUUGCCCAAGGUCACACAGGCUAUGAACAGAUUGGAACUUGAAUUUUCUGACCCUUGGACCCUACAGCAUACAUCAUGUUAUGUUCAAUCGCGUCAGGUCAAACGAAAUUGGUUAAAGCAAUGGUCUCAACCAAGGGCAAUCCCAUCACACUAGGAGGCGGUAGAAACAUUGUAGGAGUGUCUUUUUUAUUGUCACAAUGACUGGGGGCGUUCCAGUGGCGUUUAGUGGGUGGGAACCAAGGAUGUUAAAUCCUGCCAUAUUCCAAACUAAUCUGUACAAGAACUGUCACACCAACAGCUCCUGUGUUGAGAAACACUAGGUCAGAAAGAUAAAGACAGAAAACUAAUCAUUUAUUCAAUAAAUAUUCCUUAAGCAUCUGUUAUGUGCCAGGCACUAAGCUAGAUGCCAAAGAUAAAAUAAUGAACAAAACUACUUAUGGUCCCUGUCCUCUAUGUGCUUAUAUUCCAGCCCUCCAGACUGAUGAUAAGCAAGUAGAGUAAGUGUAAAUUGUGAUGAGCAGGAUACAGGAUAAAUGAUAAAAAUGGGAUAAGGUUAGGUGGCUGGGUGAGGAGUUCUGGGAUGAUCACAAAGACUGUUUAAGACAUCUUCUCAAACUUUAAGGAGCACACAAAUCACCUGGGUAUUGUGGCAAAUGCAGAUUCUACUGCAGCAGACCUGGAGUCUCAUUUCUGACAAGCUCCCAGGGGGUACCAAGGCUCUCCAUCCUCCAAUCACACUCACUCCGAACGGCAAUGAUGAAGGCCAUGACAAGGAGUUUGGAUUUUAUUUUAAGUGAGGCAGGAAAGAAGCUAUUGAAGGGCUUUUGAAAAGUGAGUAAUAGGAACCCAGUUAUAUUUUGGGUUUUUUGUUUUUGUUUUUGUUUUUUGACACGGAGUCUCACUCUGUCUCCCAGGCUGGAGUGCAGUGGCACGACCUUGGCUCACUGCAAGCUCCGCCUCUCAGGUUCAAGCAAUUCUCCUGCCUCAGCCUCCCAAGUAGCUGGGAUUACAGGCACCCACCACCAUGCCCAGCUAAUUUUUGUACUUUUAGUAGAGACAGGGUUUCACCAUAUUGGCCAGGCUGGUCUCGAACUCCUGACCUCAGGUGAUCCACCCACUUCGGCCUCCCAAAGUGCUGGGAUUACAGGCAUGAGCCACCUCGCCCAGACAAAUGCAGUUAUAUUUAAGAUCCCUUGUUUCCUAGCUCUGGAUCAGCGAGAGAAAGUGGUUGGCCUAUGUCAUUGUCUGACUGGAACCAGCUGGCCCACACUGUCACGGUGGCAGCGAGGACCUAAUGCUCAUCUCUGCAGCUCACACUUGCCUCUCUCCUCUGGCUUCCCUGGCAGAAGCCCUUGGCUCCAUGUAUGGGCCAGCCCAGUUGCCCUACAAGCUCGGGCGCCUCCAGGAAGCCUAAUAAGCCUGACAGGGUGUGGAUUCACACCCUGACACCCUAGUAUGCAGAACCACAGGAGACCUACUGGUUGGGUGAGUUCCCCAGGGGGUGCUGGGCAAGGUACUACUGCAGGUGCAAGCAGUGACACCCUAGACCAUCUCCGUCUAGAGAAAGGAGCCAUUUGGCUCCACUGUCAACACCCAAAGGGCCCUGGAGGUUCUGACAGCCCACUCUCUACCCUAGCAAGAGUGGGGAGAAAAGGAAGUCGCUCCAGGGAGGCAUCCUCAAGGGCACCCUCAGCCUAACUUAAAACAUUCCAGAUUCCAAAUCUUUUUUUUUUUUUUGAGAUGGAGUCUUACUCUGUCACCCAGGCUGGAGUGCAGUGGUGUGAUCUCGGCUCACUGCAAGCACCGCCUCCCGGGUUCACGCCAUUCUCCUGCUUCAGCCUCCCGAGUAGCUGGGACUACAGGCGCCCGCCACCACGCCCGGCUAAUUUUUUGUAUUUUUAGUAGAGACGGGAUUUCAGCGUGUUAGCCAGAAUGGUCUCGAUCUCCUGACCUCGUGAUCCGCCCACCUCGGCCUCCCAAAGUGCUGGGAUUACAGACGUGAGCCACCGUGCCCAGCCUCCAGAUUCCAAUUCUUGACUCUUGCACAUUUCUUACUCCCUGGGGCUUUUCCCAGAGCCCUAAGGUCUCUCUAGGAAGAAAGAAAAAUCUGGGGUUUUAGUCUCUACUCCACUAUUUAUUAGACUGUGGCCUUAGGAAAGUUAGUCUUGCUAAAGCUAAGGCUUUCCUCAUCUACAACAUGAGGGUUAUUAUAGCACCUGCAUAUUGGAUGUUUGUGAGAAUUUAAUAUAAAGCACGUAGCAUUGUGCUGGCCCAUAGUAAAUGCUCAAUACUAGGAGGGCAUUAUCACCACUCCUUUGGAAAACAGAGAAGACAUUGCACUUGUCAGCAGCUCUCUUGGGGACAGGUUAUCACACUCUCCCAGAAGACAGACAAGAAUUGUUGACUGAUUUCUAUUCGUCUAUCAUUUGAACUAGAAGAUAGACCUGGAACUGGAGAUCAUACAUGCUUCACUUUGGAAUCACCAAGCACAGAGCUUGGCUCCCUGGCAGGUUUUAGAAAUUAUUUGUUGAACUUAGCUCAGUUCAACAAAAACUUAGCUCAGUACCACUGGCAGAAAAAAAUGAAAGUAAGUUGUAUGCAAGGCACACACAGUCUUGGGAGCCAAGAAAUAUGGCAGGACGGUCAGGCUGUGGUGGAGGUAAGAGGAAGAUAACACAGGGGCACCAUAAGGUAGUUCUGGGCCCCUGUAGAAAUAAAAACAAAGUCCACACCAGCUCUCACUUGCCCAGAGCAGCCCUGGGCAUGUCCUCCACUUUAAUACAAUAGCCUUCCUACUCCCAAAUCACCUUUAUUCAAGUAUCCUUGCUAAUGGCAAUAAAGACACAGAAAAAGAAAUUUCAAAUAGUAGGUAAUCCAGAUCCCCUUUAAUUGGCUUCAGUUUGAAUUUCUCAAUCUCCCUCUCCCUCCGGACAGUGUGUUUAUCUUUCUAAUUUUGCUGUGUCUAAAUUUCCUUACAGACACUGGAGUUGGAUAUUAGAGGUCUGUGGCCAAGAGCAUGUUGUACAGGAGAGUGGACUUGGGAGGAAUGCUGGUGUGGACAAUCCUCCAAGUGCAGAAGGCCCCUAUCUGUAAAGAACUGCGAGUGGAAUGUAUUUACUUACAAGGUUGCUUACACAGUUUCCUAAGCUCAGGCAGUGAAAGAAAAAAAAAACAUCUGUAGAAAUUACAAGGACAAACACAAAAACACAAAGGAUUGUAGGCCGGGCACGGUGGCUCAUGCCUGUAAUCCCAGCACUUUUGGAGGCCGAGGUGGGUCGAUGGCUUGAGCCCAGGAGUUCGAGACCAGCCUCGACAAUAUAGCAAAACCUUGUAUCUACAGAAAAUACAAAAAAUCAGUGGGGCAAGGUGGCACACACCUAUAGUCCCAGCUACUCGGGAGGCUGAGGCAGGAGGAUCACUUGAGCCCAGGAGGUAGAGGUUGCAGUGAGCUGAGAUUGUGCCACUGUACUAGCCUGGGUAACAGAGCAAGACCCUGUCUCCAAAAAAAAAAAAAAAAAAAACAUUAAACACAGAUAGGGGAGACAGGGAGGGAAAGAACUACUCCUUUUGGAAGCCCAGGCUAAAUUUUUAUUCUGUCUAUAAUGAUAGCUAGAACCAAAGACAAAAAUACUCAAGUCAAAUGCCAUCCUGCAUUGUUGGGGUUCACUUUAAGACAAGUGAAGUUCUAAAACCUGGCAGUGGAACAGUACACUCCAUGAAGACAGGAACUCUACCUCUAAAACCUGGCACUGGAAUAAUACACUCCAUGAGGGCAAGGACUCUACCUCCAAGACCUAGCACAGUGCCUCCCAUUAAGCAAGUAUGUACUCCUUAUGUACUGGUUUAAUUAAUGAAUGAAUAAACACAAAUUUAGGGAGAAUGGCUCACAACAUAAUUCCACAUCUUACCAAAAUAGUUGCCACAAGGGCUUUUCAAGAGAGUUUCUCUAAAUUUUUUUGAAAAAGGAUUCUGUUUACAUAUAUUCCCUGGAGCGUACUGCUCAAACCAAGGGUCACCUGAACUUUCAAAACAUUUCAUAAGCAAGGGGCCCAGCACACUUCUGCCAAGAUGAGGAAGCAAAGAAGGAGCCUCCUGCUCAGCAUGAUGAUGGCAAAUGCCCAUUAUUUUUGACCACAAAGAUCAAGUCAGCUGUUGACAGCUUUAACACCUCUAGCCAGGCCACUCGGGUACAAUGACAUCAGAGACAAUUGCUUCCUUUAAGUUAGAAGAGCCAGAGAGCAGGUGUCUGUCCUUGGGACAGGGAAUUGAAGCCUCUCCCGUUCCCUUCCAUCCUCCCUCCCUCUCUUUUUUUUCUCUCUCCCCACUGUGAGCCUAGAGCUCCACCUCCAGAAGGAUCCUCCAAGACUUGAAUUCCUCCUCCUCAGUCAAGGCUUGGGAUAGCCACCUCAUCACUGCCACCACCUUCUAGCUCCUCCCUCCUCCCAGCCCCCAAAUGUAAAAGAUAGUAUUUUUCUAAGUAUGGCAAAUUGAAAUUAGCUUCAUUUUGAAAGACUAUUGAGAAUGUUGCAAUGACCUUUGCAAUAACCGGACACACCCUGGGAUCAGUAAACCAGGUUUGAAAAUUGCUGACUUUAUGAGCACUGGACCUGUGAAACAAAUGCCCAGGUUGGGACUCUACCUGGAACCCAUUCUCGUAUCAGGUAGGAGGGAACACAGCCCAGAAGGACCUGGUUCUGCCUCUGCUGUGUCAUCUUGGGCAAGCCAGUGUCCCUCUCUGGGUCUCAGACUCCAUGACUGUACAGAUGAUGGAUGCUCUGUGACCUCUGGGGCUCCUUCUGGCCCUGAUGCUCUGUGCUAAUACCUGCCUCCUUUAAAAACAAAACCUGGACCCAGUGUGGUGGCUCACGCCUGUAAUCCUAGCACUUUGGGAGGUCAAGGUGGGCAGAUCACAAGGUCAGGAGUUCAAGACCAGCCUAGCCAGCAUGGUGAAAACCUGUCUCUACUAAAAAUACAAAAAUUAGCCAGGCGUGGUGGCAACCACCUGUAGUCCCAGCUACUUGGGAGGCUGAGGCAGGAGAAUCACUUGAACCCAGGAGGUGGAGGUUGCAGUGAGCUGAGAUUGUGCCAAUGCACUCCAGCCUGGGCAACAGAGUGAGACUCCAUCUCAAAAAAAAAAAAAAAACAAAAAAAAAAACUGAAGUGGAGCAGAAAGAAAAAUGGGAAGGGAGAAGAAUGGUUCAGGAGGCCAUAUUACUAUAAAGCUCCCCCAUUUCUGCCUGCUGAAAAUUGCUUUCCUCAUUCUGCAGGAAGACUCCCAUUUCUUGCUGGGUUGUUACUUUUUUAUUUCUUUUUCUUUCUCUCCUUUAAAAAAAAAAAAAAAAACUCAAAAGCCACAAAACCACAAUUCAUCUCCCCAAAACAGGACAUUUGGAAGCCAGAGCUGUCGGGGGUUAGGUGUGUCAGGCCUGACAUACUGGUGGUAUCUAAGUGAAGACCAAGCCAGGGCAAGCAUGUGCUUCUCCUCCAGAAACCCAGUUUAAAUCAAUAUUUAUCCAACUGUAUUUAUAGAAAGUGGUGGUGGUAGGGAGGAGGGGGUGGGGUAGGGAGGCAGGGGGAUCUAAAACAGAACAAGCCACAAUGACUGAUGCAAAUCUUUGUGGCCAAUUCGCUUCUGCAGGGCUGGGUUUUUUUUUCAAAAGGCAAAAGACCCGGCUUUUGAUGAACCUGCUGUUGGCCCCAGUACCAUAGCAACAGCCCCAAGUCCUCUAAUAUGCCCAGAGGACAGACUUGGGAAAGGCAGCAGGAGGGGGGUGGUGUUUCCUAGGAGCCCUAAACUUGAGUUAAGGCCAGGAGAGUUGAACAACUCUGAAAGACAAAAAAAGAAAAAAAGCCUCUCUGGUUGGCUCUUCUGACUCCAGCCUCACUUCGAAACCUUUUCUAAGCAAGGUGUGUGCAGGAAGACCUUGGACAAUAAACAAGGUGUUUCAAAUACCAGCUCUGCUUCAGGUUCCUGGGUGACCUUGAGUAAGUCAUUUCACUUCUCUGGACUUCAUUCCUUGGCUGUGAAAUGAGUACAUGUGUAUAUGGUUAAGAGCACAGGCUCUGGAAUCAGAGGCCUAAGUUCAAAACUCAGCUCCGCGACUUACUAGCUAUAUAUCCUUUGGGCAAAUUACCUGGCAUCCCUGCUCCUCAGUUCCCUCCUCCGUAAAAGAGGGUAAUAAAAUUGCAUCCAUCAGAAGGUUGUUGUGAAGAUCAGGGGAGAUAAUGAAUGCAUAGCCCCAUACUUGGAAUAUAGUCAGUGUUCAAUAAAUUGUAGCCAUUAUUGAUAUUAUGCCAUACAAUUAGUUGCUGCUGCUGCACGCCAGCACCCUCUUCAUUUUCCUCAGUUUCACCUCUAGACUUUUGCCCAGGCAUCUCCAGAUGAAUCCCCAUUUCUGGAUGUGUCAGUGGGAGACUGUUUCCAUCAGAGAUGAGAGAUGGAUGAGCAGCUACUGUUUUGCCUUGGUAGCUAAUGGAGCCUCCUUUUUGCUCCCAAACCAGGAAUGGCUCAAUUCAACUUCUCUAACUUCCAAGGCCCUGUCCCCUUUCCCUGGAUCUCCUUUCCAGGACACACAGUCCUUGGGAGCUCCGUGAUUCUGAAAGCCGUAACAAUAUCCUCAAAAAAGCCUUCUUCUGGUAUUUACCAGUCAGCAGAGAUCAUAUUUAAAACUGGAAAAAAUAAGUUGAAUCUGGGGAACAUAAUUUGGGAUGCAGAGGAAAUAGGGCCUGAUUUAAGAAUGCUCUUCACAUAACUCCACUAAAGACAAAUACCCUACUCCACCCCCACCAUACUUCAACCUACAGAGUUUUCAGAAAGAAGCAUCUGCACAUAGUAGACAUUCAAUGUACAUUUGAAGAAUGUAUGAAUUCAUAAGAUUGCUGCCAUGCAAAAACGUGACCAGCUUGAACAUUAGUUGCCAUCAAAGCCCUCGAUUUCAGCAGAAGUCACUCUAGUCUCCUUCUUUCUUAUUUGUUUCUCAGGGUCACAGCUGUUCACAGGAUGCAGUCUCAGCUCUUCAGGUCUGAACUAUCAUCUUCUUGCAGGGAUUGGUCUCACCACCCAAGGGAGUUGGAGAUCAGUAUUUCUGACUCGUCUCCAAAUCUUCGGAAAGGCUGUCACGUGUCCCCUGGCCUCCAAACCUGAUCCUCGUGCCAUAGCUAGCAGUAAAUGACAAAUCUAACCAAUCAAAACAUUUAUAUUAAGGAUCUACUACUGUAUGCCCAGUGGUGUGCUAUAUGCAAUGGGUAACAUGCAUUGAAUACUGUAAGUGAUCUUUUCUCUUAAGUUACUAAUAAACUCCUUGUAAAGGUAAAGCUAA